rnacentral:rRNA from 1 species
AUUGAACGCUGGCGGCAGGCCUAACACAUGCAAGUCGAGCGGAUGAAGGGAGCUUGCUCCUGGAUUCAGCGGCGGACGGGUGAGUAAUGCCUAGGAAUCUGCCUGGUAGUGGGGGAUAACGUCCGGAAACGGGCGCUAAUACCGCAUACGUCCUGAGGGAGAAAGCGGGGGACCUUCGGACCUCACGCUAUCAGAUGAGCCUAGGUCGGAUUAGCUAGUUGGUGGGGUAAAGGCCUACCAAGGCGACGAUCCGUAACUGGUCUGAGAGGAUGAUCAGUCACACUGGAACUGAGACACGGUCCAGACUCCUACGGGAGGCAGCAGUGGGGAAUAUUGGACAAUGGGCGAAAGCCUGAUCCAGCCAUGCCGCGUGUGUGAAGAAGGUCUUCGGAUUGUAAAGCACUUUAAGUUGGGAGGAAGGGCAGUAAGUUAAUACCUUGCUGUUUUGACGUUACCAGCAGAAUAAGCACCGGCUAACUUCGUG